rnacentral:ncRNA from 1 species
GGGUAUUCUCAGGGCGGGGUGAAAUUCCCCACCGGCGGUUAUAGCCCGCGAGCGCCUGCAUACGCAGGGUCAGCAGAUCCCGGUGGAAUUCCGGAGCCGACGGUUAAAGUCCGGAUGAAAGAGAAUGCGC